GGCCACCAGUUUUGCCACUCCAGAGAAAGGAUUCCUCUUUGUCUAGAUGAUCCAGCCAAAGUCUGAGGGUGGAAUCUCAUUUCCAGGUGUGUCAUCUGAAUUCCCAGAGCAAAGCAAAGCACAGUGGCCAGGCCUGGAGCCAAAAGGCGAGGUCAGCCCCACUCAAACCACAUGAACUGACAGGAUGGCAAUGGCGUCUUAAGGGAAAAUUAGGGUGCUGCUAUCGAAAGAAGGGGGGCCAGAUGCUGAGGAGGCACUCAGGAGCUCUUUCCGAUCACCACAGCAGAAAGAAGAUGGUACGUCUUCAUGCGGGCUUUUGCAUAGGGCUGCUUACGCUUCCCCACAGUAUGGCAGCUGUGUUCUAACAGUAGAGAAGGUAAACAGCUGAGGAAUGAUCCAUGGGUGAAGACUGGGAGUCCAUGGGGGGCUUUGUAUCUGGAGGAAGAGGUAUGGAGUGAGAAGGCGAUGACCCAGAGUCCCGGGGGAGAGCAGAGGCUGUGUGCAUGGUGUCUACAGACUGCAAAUAAACACCCAAAACGGAGAGAAUGGGACAGAAAGAGCACUUGGUUUGGAGUAAAACAGAGAUGGGUCUACCUUCUAGCUCUGUCACUUACCAGCUGCAUGACCUUGGAGAAUUCACAUCAUCUCUUUGAGUCUCUUUCAUCUAUAAAAUGGGAAUAAUAGUAUCUACCUUGUGGUAUAAAGUAGUGCUUAAGUGUUUAGCACCUGGAGCCAGACUGCAAUCUAUUAGCUGUAUGGCCUUUGGAAACCUGUUUUGUAAAACAGAUUUAUGGAGGUAUGACUGUCAUAAAAUAAACUGCAUAUGUUCAAAGCAUACAAUUUUAUAAGUUUCGACAUAUGUAAACACACGUGAGACCAUCACCACCACCAAGGUAAUGAACACACCCAUCCCCUCCCA